UGGGGAAUUUUCCGCAAUGGGCGAAAGCCUGACGGAGCAAUGCCGCGUGGAGGUGGAAGGCCUACGGGUCGUCAACUUCUUUUCUCGGAGAAGAAACAAGGACGGUAUCUGAGGAAUAAGCAUCGGCUAACUCUGUGCCAA
rnacentral:rRNA from 1 species